ACGAACGCUGGCGGCGCGCCUAACACAUGCAAGUCGAACGAGCGAGAGAGGGCUUGCUUUCUCAAGCGAGUGGCGAACGGGUGAGUAACGCGUGAGGAACCUGCCUCAAAGAGGGGGACAACAGUUGGAAACGACUGCUAAUACCGCAUAAGCCCACGACCCGGCAUCGGGUAGAGGGAAAAGGAGCAAUCCGCUUUGAGAUGGCCUCGCGUCCGAUUAGCUGGUUGGUGAGGUAACGGCCCACCAAGGCGACGAUCGGUAGCCGGACUGAGAGGUUGAACGGCCACAUUGGGACUGAGACACGGCCCAGACUCCUACGGGAGGCAGCAGUGGGGAAUAUUGCACAAUGGGGGAAACCCUGAUGCAGCGACGCCGCGUGGAGGAAGAAGGUCUUCGGAUUGUAAACUCCUGUUGUUGAGGAAGAUAAUGACGGUACUCAACAAGGAAGUGACGGCUAACUACGUGCCAGCAGCCGCGGUAAAACGUAGGUCACAAGCGUUGUCCGGAAUUACUGGGUGUAAAGGGAGCGCAGGCGGGAAGACAAGUUGGAAGUGAAAUCCAUGGGCUCAACCCAUGAACUGCUUUCAAAACUGUUUUCCUUGAGUAGUGCAGAGGUAGGCGGAAUUCCCGGUGUAGCGGUGGAAUGCGUAGAUAUCGGGA
rnacentral:rRNA from 1 species